UACGGAAGGCAGCAGUGGGGAAUAUUGCACAAUGGGCGCAAGCCUGAUGCAGCCAUGCCGCGUGUAUGAAGAAGGCCUUCGGGUUGUAAAGUACUUUCAGUCGUGAGGAAGGUGUUAAGGUUAAUAACCUUAGCAAUUGACGUUAGCGACAGAAGAAGCACCGGCUAACUCCGUGCCAGCAGCCGCGGUAAUACGGAGGGUGCGAGCGUUAAUCGGAAUUACUGGGCGUAAAGGGCACGCAGGCGGUUAAUUAAGUUGGAUGUGAAAUCCCCGGGCUUAACCUGGGAAUGGCAUUCAAGCUGGUUAGCUAGAGUCUUGUAGAGGGGGUAGAAUUCCAUGUGUAGCGGUGAAAUGCGUAGAGAUGUGGAGGAAUACCGGUGGCGAAGGCGGCCCCUGGACAAAGACUGACGCUCAUGUGCGAAAGCGUGGGGAGCAAACAGGGAUUAGAUACC
rnacentral:rRNA from 1 species